GCUUGGUGGGUCACUCCUGUAAUCCCAGCACUUUGGGAGGCCAAGACGGGCAGAGGGCAGAUCACUUGAGUAUCUCAUUCCUGAGAUGUGACCGAGCCCAUCCUCGCUGAUAUAGCCCCUCCGUCCAGAGAGCACAUACUCUUCUUGGGGGAUUUCUGCUUUUGCAUCCUCCUCUCUUCACUUGCCACCACCAUAUAAGAAGAGCCUUUCACCUCCCGCCAUGAUUCUGAAGCUUCCCCAGCCAUGUGGAACUAUGAGGAAACUGGGACCAAGAGAAAUGAAAUGAAAUGAAAUUUUCCAGAGUCACAGAGCUGAAAAAGAGAACCUGGAUUCCAAG